AUUGAACGCUGGCGGCAUGCCUUACACAUGCAAGUCGAACGGUAACAGGUCUUCGGAUGCUGACGAGUGGCGAACGGGUGAGUAAUACAUCGGAACGUGCCCGAUCGUGAGGGAUAACGGAGCGAAAGCUUUGCUAAUACCGCAUACGAUCUACGGAUGAAAGCAGGGGACCGCAAGGCCUUGCGCGGACGGAGCGGCCGAUGGCAGAUUAGGUAGUGGGUGGGAUAAAAGCUUACCAAGCCGACGAUCUGUAGCUGGUCUGAGAGGACGACCAGCCACACUGGGACUGAGACACGGCCCAGACUCCUACGGGAGGCAGCAGUGGGGAAUUUUGGACAAUGGGCGAAAGCCUGAUCCAGCCAUGCCGCGUGCAGGAUGAAGGCCUUCGGGUUGUAAACUGCUUUUGUACGGAACGAAAAGCCUCUUUCUAAUAAAGAGAGGUCAUGACGGUACCGUAAGAAUAAGCACCGGCUAACUACGUGCCAGCCGCCGCCGUAAAAC
rnacentral:rRNA from 1 species